rnacentral:rRNA from 1 species
CGGUAAUACGUAGGCAGCAAGCGUUGUUCGGAAUUACUGGGCGUAAAGAGUGCGUAGGCGGUGCUCUAAGUUUGGUGUGAAAUCUCCCGGCUUAACUGGGUGGGUGCGCCGAAGACUGGAGAACUUGAGUGUGGGAGAGGAAAGCGGAAUUCCUGGUGUAGCGGUGAAAUGCGUAGAUAUCAGGAGGAACACCUGCGGUGUAGACAGCUUUCUGGACCACCACUGACGCUGAGGCACGAAAGCGUGGGUAGCAAACAGGAUUAGAUACCCUGGUAGUCCACGCCCUAAACGAUGCAUACUUGGUGUGGGCAGUUCAUUCUGUCCGUGCCGGAGCUAACGCGUUAAGUAUGCCGCCUGGGGAGUACGGUCGCAAGGCUGAA